CUGUAGAAUGACUAUUUUAAUUGAUAAUGCAACACUUGUUAUAAAUUAGACAGUGCUCUUGCUACUUCCAAAAGAGAGAGCUAUAUCUACUCCUCGGUGCGAUUUUAUUGUGGAUAAUGUUUAGAGAGAGAGAGAGGAAAUGAACCAUCGGCCCGGAAGUCUAACACGACGACGACAUGGCUGCCUGCAGUUCGAGUUGGCAAAUCUAUCUACGUGUAAAAUAUACAUGUUGUUCGAUGAAAAGAAACAUUAGAGAGACGAAAGGAAAGAAACAAAAAAGAAGCGAAGGUUAAGGAAAUUGUGUCUUACCUGAAGUAUAAAGUCCGGUACAUCUGAUGAGCCUCAUAGAAGUUGUUAGCAUCCACACAGGCCUGACAUUUCGCUAAAAUACGACUUAAUCUUUCGGCACACAUGUUGCUAACAAUGCCAAAAACAGUUCAGUGUCUCAUUACUAAGAAACUCAAGACUGAAUGGAAGCAGGAAAGAAACCCGAAGAGGAAAAAACAAAC